rnacentral:rRNA from 1 species
AGCGAACGCUGGCGGCAGGCCUAACACAUGCAAGUCGAACGAACCUUUCGGGGUUAGUGGCGGACGGGUGAGUAACACGUGGGAACGUGCCUUUAGGUUCGGAAUAACUCAGGGAAACUUGUGCUAAUACCGAAUGUGCCCUUCGGGGGAAAGAUUUAUCGCCUUUAGAGCGGCCCGCGUCUGAUUAGCUAGUUGGUUGAGGUAAUGGCUCACCAAGGCGACGAUCAGUAGCUGGUCGGAGAGGAUGAUCAGCCACAUUGGGACUGAGACACGGCCCAAACUCCUAGGGGAGGCAGCAGUGGGGAAACUGGCGCAAUGGGCGAAAGCCUGACGCAGCCAGGCCGCGUGAAUGAUGAAGGUCUUAGGAUUGUAAAAUUCUUUCACCGGGGACGAUAAUGACGGAACCCGGAGAAGAAGCCCCGGCUAACUUCGG